ACCAUUGCAGAUGAGGCUAUCAAGAGAAUCUAUACUACUAUCAAAAGAGCAAACUAGAGUUAUUUUACAACCACCUAAAUAAGUGUACACAGAACAAUCAAAACCCUCAGAUCUAAUCCAUUUAGUUAAAUCUAACAGUAUAUAAUGACCCGAUGGUCUGCCAGCCGAUUGAACAGCUGUGAUUUAAUGUUCUGCCGCGCCAGACCAUGGUCGCGCACUCCCCCCUGAUGACCGAUGUGAUCCGUAAUUUCAGGAUCAUCCUCAACCUCCCUCCCUUCUAAUUCGCACAGAUUUGCUCCAUCCCCAACCUCCCCGACGCCCUACCGCCUCCUCCCCUCAUCGCCGCCCCUCGGCAGCCGUCCGUCCUGCAGGCAGACUCUCGCUGCCGCCCCCGUCUGGUCUACCCGCAGACCCGCCGCUCCCUCCUCGCCGUCCUUCGGUUCUGCCCCUGCCGCCCCUCUCUCUUGCAGCGGAGUAGAAGCGGAAGCGCCGAGAGAAGAUCAACCGACGAUUCAUUGAGCUAUCCACUGUCAUCCCCGGCUUCGAGAAGUAGCAGGAAAAUCUCAAGGCACUCGAGGACGCAACCUCCAGAGCAUCCAGUCCACGGUGCUCAUCGGGAAGUUGUGCACAGCCACGCCGGAAGGCGUCGGCGGCUGCUGCCCGCCAUCGUCUGCAGCGGCCGUAGCUGGAAGCACGACGCCGACGACCGGGAAAGUGCUGCUGGAGGCGAGAAGGACAAUUGGAGUCGCCGGCGUCGCUUAUGGAGCUCCACACCAUUGCCCAGUUGUACAAUAGCAUGUGCAAUCUUCUCCAUUCAAGACUAAUAAGUGCAAAUUGUGAACUCUUUGCCAAACAAGAAGAUAUGAGGAUCAGGCAUAUAGGCCCCAAUAAGGU